rnacentral:rRNA from 1 species
CGCGUAGGCGGUCUUUUAAGUCAGAUGUGAAAGCCCGGGGCUCAACCCCGGAAGUGCAUUUGAAACUAAGAGACUUGAGUAUGGGAGAGGGAAGUGGAAUUCCUGGUGUAGAGGUGAAAUUCGUAGAUAUCAGGAGGAACACCGGUGACGAAGGCGACUUCCUGGACCAAUACUGACGCUGAGGCGCGAAGGCGUGGGGAGCAAACAGGAUUAGAUACCCUGGUAGUCC